AAAGUCAUAAGCAAGAGGGAAGACAGAAAAGACCAGGAGACCAAGUGCUGCUGUGUGAGCUCAGGGCACUCUUCCGAGGUUAGCUAUUUUAAAUAGUGAUAACAGUUACAAUGGGGGCAAAUUGAUGCUGAUCAGCAAUGCAUGUAGACAUUUAAUUAUAGUAUUUAUUUUAUAAACAGGGAUUUUCUGGAACACAGAGUAUUUCCUUUGCAAGAACUGUCCAUAUUCUUUGUCCACUUACCUGUGGGGUGGUUGGAUUUCUGGUUGAUUUGUAGAAGCUCUUUCAAUACGAGGGAAAUCAGGCCUUGGUCUGUCAUGGGUAUCCCUGUGUUUUUUCUCAGUUCAUAGACAGAUUUUGUGUGUACACAG
rnacentral:lncRNA from 10 species